CAGAUGGGAGGCAGCAGGGGGGAAGAUUGGGCAAUGGGCGAAAGAAUGACCCAGCAACGCCGCGUGAAGGAAGAAGGCCUUCGGGUUGUAAACUUCUUUUGUCAGGGACGAAGAAAGUGACGGUACCUGACGAAUAAGCCUCGGCUAACUACGUGCCAGCAGCCGCGGUAAUACGUAGGUGGCAAGCGUUAUCCGGAUUUACUGGGUGUAAAGGGCGAGUAGGCGGCAGGGCAAGUCAGACGUGAAAGUCCAGGGCUCAACCCUGGAACUGCAUUUGAAACUGUUCUGCUUGAGUAAAGGAGAGGCAGGCGGAAUUCCGUGUGUAGCGGUGAAAUGCGUAGAUAUAAGGAAGAACACCAGUGGCGAAGGCGGCUUGCUGGACAUUAACUGACGCUGAGGCGCGAAAGCGUGGGGAGCAAACAGGAUUAGAUACCCGGGUAGUC
rnacentral:rRNA from 1 species